GCCUAUAUAAAGAAGGCUGCUUCCCCUGGAGCUCACAGCCAUUUUGUCUUAGGAGCUGCAGGUGGACUUCUCUUCUAUUACUUGGUUCAUGGAAACCAGUUGUAUAUGAUCCUACCUGCUCCUAAGAUCUGAGGCAGACAUCAAAGGUAAACAAGGCCUUCUGAAACAGGGCCAAUUUUAU